GGGGUGUGGGGGGUUGUGGGUUCGGGGCCGCUCGCUCCGUGCGGUGUUUGUAAUUCCUGAGCGCUCAGCCCGGCUCUGGGGAAUUUGCCCUUAUUUGGUCGCAGAGCGGCAGAAAUUUCGCCCUCCCUCCCUGAUACAGACACACACCUCCCUUCAACCUUCCCCCGACUGUCGGGACGGAACGCCCGCCAUCCCUCCCCCGCCGAGGCGACCCCCGAACUGUCAUGGCGGAACGCCUCCCCUCAGAGCUCCGCGCCUCCCGCUGAGGGAAAGUGCCUGAGGGAAAGUCCCGCCGAGUCCGUGUUUGGCCAUAUUUUCCCCGAACUUGGCGGGCUGACAGCACCCCCGCCCCGUGUCUGUCCCGGUACCCAAACUCAGAGAGUGACACCGGGUUCUCCCCUCCUGCCCCGGCACCAGAACUCGGGGAAUGGCACCGGCGGGGCUUUGGGGGCCCUGUUGAGGCGUGUUCCUGCGUGGUGACCAUUCUUGAACCGCCUCCAAAUUCUUGUCUGUUGUGCUAAUGUGAGAUGCCGUCACGCCUACGUUUAGCAAAAGCUAUGGAGCUAUUAACUCGGAGUUAGGAAAGUGCUUUGAUGAAAAUAUAUUAAACAUUAAAAUCCGCUGUGGUUCCUCCAAAUUAUGCCUCCUUACUCUGAGACAAACACUUCAAAAUAUUCCAGUUCUAGUAAGGAGGGCAAAACACCGUCCUGAGAUUUAUUUUUUUAUAUACGGGGAGUUUUAGUGAGUAGCUCCUUUUCAGCUCCUUUAAAAGUGUUGCUAAAAGUUUGCUAUCCAUAGACUUAAGGAGCUAAACGAGAGAAGGAUUAGUGUCGCUGUAUACUUAAAUUCUCUUUCAUUAGUUUUGUCCUCAUCCUUCACCAGUUUGCUACACCUGGCCUCAUAGAGAACGUGUUACAGCUUUUCCCAGAGUGAUUUGUAUUCACACAAUUAUUAGGCAGUAUAACUCCUGUUCAAAAACAUCCUUGUUUCCAUUAGUGUCUUUUUCAAAGCCUUUUUUACAAGACUUGAGAGUUCCACCUCUUCUGUGCAUUAUGUGUGUCAUUUUAAGAUGGAAGAGCCUGGAUUUCUGACCAUACGUAUUGUACGUGCUUAAAUAUUAUUCUUCCACGGAUCCUGGUAUUUUUUUUUCUUUUUCACACAGGUUCUGACCUUGGAGCAAUCCAAAAGAAGUCACUGGAAAAUGGGAACCAUCAGCUGUCCCUGCCUACAGGAGCUGUUCUGUAUAUCCUCAGGUGAAUGGGAAAAACACAGGAGCUGAUGAAGCAGGUGGUAACUUCACCCUGUUGCCAGGACUGUUAACAACUCAGGUAUAAGAUGGAAUUAAAUGAGAAUAAUAAGCAGAUUUGUAAGAGUAUUUUAUUAAAGAUACUGUUGCAAAGCACAGAAUAAGCUUUAAAGAUGAUGAUAACUAACCUGGAAUGUCUUUACUGAUACUCUGCAUAGACUGGAAUAGCUAAAUUACAGAACAGUUGCAGCCUGUUCUAGAUAUCCUACGCUUUGUAUACUGUUGAAGGCGAUGCUAUAAAUGUAUUCCCUUCUCUCCUCUGCUUUGUGGUGGUCCUACUCUUAAGGUCCUUCAUGUUUUCUAUAGAAAGGACAUCUCAUUUGCUCUCAGAUAUCUUGUGCCUUCUCCCUGAAGAGUCCCCAGAGCUAUCCAGCUUUGAUAUUCACCAUCCUCCCCUUCACUUCAUACAGCCACUGGGACUGAAGUGUCAGCAUUCCAGUGCUGCACUGGAGGCUUUUCAAAUACCUACAUUUAUGUUUAAGGUGUUAUGUGUUAAUAGGGCUGACACCUUCAACAUUUAUAUGCUGAAACACUGGGGGCUACUUAAUUAGAUUGAGCAACCACAUUCAAAGAUAUCUGAACAUCUUUUCUUGCAUUUGUAUAGUAACUUUAUAAACUCAAAAAGAGUAAAGCAAGCACAGACACAUGCCCUAUACAAGCUGCAAUACAGACAAUAUUGUACACACUUUGUAACAACAGUAAUGAAAAUGAUGCCAAUUAUAAAUAAAAUUAUAGACAGACUCCUCUUGAGAUAACAGUUAUAGUGAACAAUGAAACAUCCUUUUAUAAUCAUGAGUAGAAUUAGUAAGAUACGUAACUACAGCAGAAUAUAAUCAGCAUGUUUAGUCUGUUUACAUGUCUUAAUUUGAUCCACUGUUGUCUGAGGGGAAGCAGAAGAAAUUAUUUUUAUAAUUCAUGCUUGCCCUAAUUUGGAAAAUUUACUGCCUUAUUGCUUUUUUGGUUAAGGUUUUCCGCCUCCCCUCCAUUAAUUUAGCUGGAAACAUUAGCAUUCCUAAAAUGCUCAAAUCUGAACAUGAAUGCCUGAUUCUCCAAGCCAGCUUUUGCAAGGCUUAGCUCCAGAACAAGGUGCACCCUGUGCCCUGUGAAGAUUAUUUCACAUUUACUCAUCUCCUUGUUGGUAAAAAAUUUUCACCAUUCUUUUUAAAAGACCAGAGCACCAUUUCUUUACUCUCCACAUACAAGCACAGUGCUCCAUGGAAGGUCCUCUUCAGCUUGCAAAUGAUGAUCAUGGCAGCAGGGGAAAUCAAGUCAGCUGGAUCUCUCACCAUCCUGUCCUUCCUCAGGGACCCUCAGUCCUCAGUUUUUAAGAUUCCUUUUUUUCACCUCUUACUCUUUUUUUUUUUUUUUUUAAACACUUGAUAGUUUAGCAUUGUGCAUGAGUAUACGCUUGUAAUGUUUGAACUAAAAAAUCUACAGAGUUUUUGACAGCAACUCUAAGAAGCCUCAUUUCAAGAAAGGAGCACUCCAGCAUGUGAAUAGAAAUUUUGCAAAUUCAUUUCAGUGCAGCCCUUAACACCUGGCA